rnacentral:rRNA from 1 species
UACGUAGGAGGCAAGCGUUAUCCGGAAUGACUGGGCGUAAAGGGUGCGUAGGUGGUUUGACAAGUUAGUAGCGCAACUCCGGAGCUCAACUUCGGAACUACUACUAAAACUGUUGGACUUGAGUGCAGGAGGGGCAAUCGGAAUUCCUAGUGUAGCGGUGGAAUGCGUAGAUAUCGCGCAGAACUCCGAUUGCGAAGGCAGCAUGCCGGCUCCACACUGACGCUGAGGCACGAAAGCGUGGGUAUCGAACAGG